rnacentral:lncRNA from 1 species
AACUUCGGGAGGCGCGGACCGCCCGGCCCCGUGCGCCCCUCUCUUCCCUCGGCCUCAGCGCUGCUCCGUCCUCAGCCCGGAGUGAGCAGAGAGCGGACCCCGCGGUGGCGCACGGCCAGGCUGCUUCCCGUGGCCUGGGAGCGGCUGAGCUACUCUGGGCCAAGCCGGCAAAACAGUGUGCCCUUCGCCGGCCUGCGGAGCCCGCGAGGACCCCGCAGGCCGAGUGCCGCCAGCUGGGACCCCCCCGGGCCGCUUUGAGGCCACUGGCUGAGACCCGGGCCCAGCGCCCCGCAGCGUCCGCCCUCGGCCCGCGGGGUUCUCCCUCACGCGGACCUGCCACGUGGCCUGGACGGAGGCCGUUCGGCCUGGGCAUCAGGAUGAAGCCUGGUCCUGGGUCUACACUGGGGCGGGCCCUGUCCCUGGUGAGCAGAGCCACAGCUCCCUGGUCUGCAGCUGUGAGGAUGCUCCAGGCCUAGGGACUCGGACAGCACCAGGAAGUCUCGCCUGGGAUUAGCGACAGUGUGACCCGCGAGAGAACCCCAGCGCUGCCUGGACCUGGGACUGUCUCUCCAGCGUCCUGCUAAGCAAACACCAGUGUGGCAUUUCAAGGUGACAGGUAAACACAGGGCCGCUGGUCCCGCCCAGCCGCUGUGAGGUGAAGAAGCUCUGGGGCCUGGACAGGGGUGGGGUGCGCUUUGUCCGGACUCCACGGUUCUUCCAGUGUCCCCGCCUCGGGGGCACAGGCUGAGGGUCCUGGACCCUGCACGAUGUCAGUAUGGUAACACAGGGCAGGCGGCCUGGGCACCAGCAAGGCUGCCAGCCAUCCCGCCCCCCCCAGAGCGGGCGAGGGCUGUGGAUUCUGCCUCACUCUCUGACUAGGACAGGGGCUGGGGUUACUCCCACUGCACCCCACCCCUGCAAGCUGGAGCUACAGGAGGGGGAGGGGGAGAGAGGGAGGGCCUUGCCUGCAAAUUGUCCCUGGAAGAGGGAAGGGGAGGGGGCGCAGGGCAGGGUGGGAGCCACAAACUUGACCCUGCGCCUCCAGGAGUUCCGAGGCGGCCCCUGCCACUCCCAUUGGGCGUCAGUUGGUCCAGCAGUUAAGCGGGGCCCAUAGCCCCAAGGCCCAUCUGGGAGAAGGGGCUCCGCAGGCCUCGGGUCUGCCUGAAUCCUUUUCCAGAGGGUCCCGGGCUGUCUCCAAGGGGACAAACAGGCUCACCGGCUUGCUUGGUCUCUGCUGGCCCAAGAGGACGAGCGGGUCCGGGCUCCCCAGCGAAGCGGAGGAAGACGUCGGGAGGGCGGGGGACCCGCGGGCCAGGCCCCUCCCCGACCCACCGCCUCCGAAGCCGCCUCCCUGAGCGGACCCUAGGGGUCGCUGCGAGGACGGAGUCUUCCCCGGCCCCGGGGGUUUCUAAGUGAAAACCCCGAAAUAAUUCUCCAGGAUUCCGAGGUUCUGCUGCCCAGAGGCCUCAAAGGAGAAAGAGGAGGCUGGGGAGGGGACAUUUGGAGUCAGGGCCCCCGCAUCCAUGUGGCCCCGGUUGUCUUCCUUGCGCGUUGUCAUCCACGCGUGGACUGUGCCAUGGACCCCAGCCCGGCCUCCGCCCGGCCGCGCCCUGCUUUAGGAGUCUGGGUAGUGAUCAUCAGGACUCUGCACCUUUCCCCAGUAGGAGCUGGGGUGUCACCCGCUGGGGACCGGGCCAUGGACAAGUACUGGGUGGUCGGUGGUGUCCAAGGAGACCCUCGCCGAGCGCAGACUGCAGCCCCACGCGUGGAACCGUCUGGGCACCCGGGCCCCUCGAGGCCUGGACCCGUGAGUGAGGCCCUCUGUGCUUGUGGCUGGAGUCGCCGGGAGCUCAGGGAGGCAACACCCAGCCCCCAGGCCCAGAGGCACAGAAUGAUCCCCAGGCGUCACAGUAGGACGGUCCCCAAGCCCUCAGAGUGGCCUGAGCUCCAGCGAGCGCGGUGGGGCCUGCAGGACCACAGUGUGGCUGUCCCGAGUGUCACAGGAAGCGCAUUACAUGCGUGUGCACACACGUAAAUAUUUUAUAAAUCUCCCCUUAAUUAACCAGAUCAUCUCCAUUACGCCUCCGACAGGAUCGGCAGCGACGGCGAGCAUUUUCAGGGUUUAUAAUUUGAUGUCACCAGACGGUUGCUCCGGGGCAGAGGCACAAUUGCCGUGCCAGCUGCGCUUGUAUUUAUUUGUUUUCUGCGGUGUUCCUGUAGGGCUCCAUUAUGCAGUUUUUAAUUAGUUUGUGUUUGUAUUUCACCCGUCCCAAAUCAAUGCCAUCCCGGAGCAAGGCGAUGUAAAUUCUUGCAGUACAGGUGUUGCAGCCUGCUCCGUACACCAGCGAACGCGUGUCUGACAAAUGAAAGCCGGGCUGCCAUGCAGCGGCUGUCAGCUCUCCCCAGCCAGAGUCGCAGAUCAAAGCCCUGGGUGAGAGGGUGGGGAGGCAGCCCUGAGCCGCCCAAGGGGAGCUGGGCGGGCGGAGCCUUGUGGGCGCUCGCUCUGCGUUUCCCUGGGGUCCUGGGAUCCUUUAGCUGUUGCUGCUCUGUGCUGCCCUUGAGGCCUGGAGGACAGGGCUCUGGAGGCCCGGCCCGGAGCAGGGCGUCCUGCCGUCACGGGGUCUCUCUAACUGAGGAGCAGUCACCAGCAUAGUCUUGCACAGCCAGCCCCUCGCUGAGUUUGCUGGCUUUUCUCUCUUGAAACGACUUCCUUGGAGAGCAUUCAAAUCUGGCCCUCUUGUCACAGGGGGAUUCUUGCAAAGCUUUCUUUCUUUCUUUUUUCUCUUUCUGUUUUCUUUUUUUCUUUCUUUCUUUUUUGGUUAGGAAUAAGAGCCUGUUCAUCUUUAACUAGGCCAAUAGAAAUUAUGAUUCAACAGCAGUGUAUAUUUAAUUAGGGUAAUCUCACUUGAAUUUAAUUACCUAAUGAAUUAUUUGUUUAAAAGGUACGACAUCUUGUUUGCCAAGUGCCAGGGAGGCAGGCCUCUGAUAAGGACUUCAGUGCUCAGGGCACUGCAGCGGGAAGCAGGCAAGCUGAGGGGCUAGGCUUGCGCUGGGACUGGUACAGCAGCCUAGCCCUAGCCAUGGGGGGUGUCAUUCCCAUCUGCAGCACAGAACCCUCUCCUGCUCUUGUGCACAGUGACAGCCUCGGACUCUCCGCUUACUGGGCUGCUUUGCUGGAGAAGUUAUUCCGUGCUGUUCUCAGUGGCAUUUUCCUCCUCCUCUGGCCAGAAGGGACGGUUAUCUGCUAGAGGGGUCACCUUCAGAUUAGCAUUAUGGUGAAGAGGCAAAGCGGGCAUGAAUCUCCAGUGCCCAGCACCCGAGUGCCCCUUCCCGGACCCUGACACAGCCACACCAGUGGCCGGAAGUCUUCCCAAGAAGCGUGAAACCCACGCCAUACGUUACAGCCCAGACUCGGCCCUUAACCUUUGGUUCUGCACGGGGGCCAGGUCCUUUCUUCUCAUUUCCCAAAACAAGAGCAGCCAGCGAGCCUCCCACCCUCUCAUCAGAAAGAAAGAGAAGGAGAACACCUCAGUCACCACAGCUGGACUUCCGCUGCUUUUUUCAUUAAUAUUUCAUUAACCAAAUAAUUUACUUUAAUUGCAGUUUGGGGCAUUAUUGUAACAUAAAUAUUAAAUAUUAUUAAUAUAGCAUCCAACCAAGUAGGAAUGGGCUUAUGAAAAAAUACAACACUUGAUAAGAUUAAUUUUAAAUUUCUUCUUAGAAUCCCUGAUUUGUAUCAUAGCUGUUUAUUUCUUUAAAUUGAUGCUCUAAUGACCAAUAGGGGUUAAAUUAUAAUAUAAUCAUAAUCACAUGCAGUGAUGGCCACAGUAGCAUCUUUCUUCCAAAGAACCAGAGCUGCGUAAACUUAUUUUUAAGCUUAUUUGUGAAUUUACAUCACAGGUUCUUCCAAAUCACAACUGACAGUAAUGACCAGAGAGAGCACGUGAGAUACCAGCCGAAGAACAAUAAUAUAUUUGUCAGAUCUGAGCAAACCCAAAGAUGAUUUCCUAGAAGAUCCUCAAAGGGAACAAGUUGUGUGGGAAGGAGGGAAGGAAAAUACUAACUGGUGUGUUCAUGCUCGACUCUUCCCAAAACGUUUGAAAUCGAGACCAGACAGGGUUCCAUUUCCCAUGACUUCCUGUCAGCCCUCAACCUUUCUAUGUUGAAGAUAAAAGCCUGCCUGCUAGAAAUUCCUUUUAGAACUCUGUGGACAUAUAUGCACACAUGUAUAUCCCAAGCAGAUGGUUUAGUGCCUUCCGGUUUUCUGAGAGAUGCAUGUGCCAGACCUCAGAGGGUGAUAAGUUGUGAUCUGUUCACCAGACUCUUGGGGACAUCAGGUCAACAAAAACAUCUGACAAGUUAACAUCAAGGUUGGCAGGUGCAGUGGACGUUCAGGGGAAAGUUUCUGGGGAGCUCUGAAGACUUUUAGGUCACCCACAACUUCCCAAAAAAAUUCUUCUGGAACAAAAUGGGGUGUGAAAUGGAUCUCAGGAGGAAAUUUACACUAUCCCUUCACCCACGGGUCCUUGACUCGUUCUUGCGGUGACUUUGCCUCUCGUUUAGCUGUCCCCAAGGUCAACUCCAGAGCUGCUUCAGAUGAUAGCUCAUGGCUGGAGUCCUGAGCCCCAUCCUUCCUUUGUAGGACCACAUGAAACAGGGCCUCCCCAUCUCCCACCCUUACACCAGCCUGGAGAGGCUGUGUGUACAAAUGUGUGACAGGCCAAAGCAGGGAAGCAUUGAGGCUGGGGCGGGAAAGUUUCCUUCUGCCUGACACACUGCCAGGGGUAAGGGCUCAUAGUGCAGAACACAUCUGUGUCCAAGAAGAAGGCCAAUCGAGGCAGAAUCCACAGUGAGGACGAAGCGCCCCUCCCCUGUCCUCCCUGUUCUGCCCAGUGUCCCUCCAAGACCUUCCAAGCCCACUGUCCCACUGUCUUGCAAAUAACUGAAUGGCUGCCAGGUGGAUCAUAGCUUCAAAAUUUGUAUCCAUUUAUUUGUUUGCAGUACUGGAGGUUGAACCCAGAGUCUUGCCCUGAGCUGCAUCCCCGGACGUUUUCAUGUCCUUAUUUUGAGACAGGGCCUCAUUGAGUCACCCAGGCUGGGCUUGAACUUCUCCUAGCAGUGUCCCAGGUGGACGGCUGACUCUGCAGUGAGGUUUUCUAACCCUUCUCAUGAACAGCUGCUGUUCCCAGCUGCUGCUGCAGCAGAGCCAGGACCUUCAGAGCCCUGCCCUCCGAAUCGGGUCCCCAGCGCUGUGUGAACAAAGCUCUGCGCUGGGCUUUUAGAACAAGCAGCACUCUCUCGCAUCCUGAGGUUGCCUGGGCAGGUUCAGGCUCUGCUGAGCACCUGCCGUGGCGGGGCAGCCGCCUUUACACUGUGUCCUCUGUGCAUGGCCAGGCCUGGCCAGCCGGAGUUCCAAUCUCCUCUCCACCUUCCUUGGUAUUGGGGAAUGGAGCUCAAAGCCUCAGAGCUGCAUCCUCGACCCUUUUUCUAAAUUUUGAGAUAGGGUCUCAUUAAGUUACUAAGUUGCCCAUGCUGGUUUAGAAGCUGUGAUCUUCCUGCCCCAGGCUCCCAGUGCCUGGCUCCAAAUGGUCUCUUUUUAUAGGGACAGCAGUCAGACUGGAUUAAGAGCCAAGUUAAAGCUGCAUUUUAGCAUAGUCACCUCUUUGAAGGCUCCGUCUCCAAAUACAGCCACACUGAUACACUGCAGCUUAGGGUUUCAACAUAGGAAUUUGGGGGAUGGGGUGCAUAGCUCACCCAGGACAGCACCCAGGGCCAAAGACCCCCGCCCCGUGCCAGGCCAUCACCCUGUCCCACACACAGCUCAUGGUGCGGUACAUCCUGCAGCUUUGGGGCAGAAGGUCUGGAAAGAAGCUCGGAAAUUCUCCCUCCAGCCUUGGUAGACUGUGUUAGUCUGCACAUUAAACCCUCCUAACCUUGGCUGUCAUCGAAGGCCGAACUUGCCACUCUGAUGUGGUCUCUGCAACUCCAAGGGACUCUUGUGUUCGUGCAGUUUAUAAGCUCUCCAGAUGGAGAAUGUGCACCCUGGAGGAAAUGAAUUUUGUUCCUGCCCCUGGGGAUGCCUGUGUCUCACCGCACAUCCCCGGGGUGCUCAUGUGCCGACCCUGCCCCAAUCACGAUGCCAUUUAGGGUGUGGGAAUCUAAGCUACCCAUUAAGUUCCAUUUCCUCGGCCUUGCAGAGAAAGAAACCUACAGUGCUUCCCCCAUCGGCUGGGUCCCCUGCUCCAGACUUUUGGGUGUACUUUAGGCUUGGCUGAGAAAAAUCGCCAUAAAAAGAGGAAAUCCACAUGCCCUCCUGCCUCCCCUCGCAGCUGCACUCCUGCCAGCACUGGCGUUUUCACUGCAGCCCUGAUAGUGGUGACGCAGGAUCAGUGAUGGUCCUACAAGCUGAAGACUUGGUGACAUUAUCUAGGGUUGCGUUAAGUGGUUUGUCUAAGGUCGCCCGGCAAGUGGUAAUAAAUCC